GGCUUGUUGAUUAUUAUUUCAGGUYUGACCUGCCCACUGAUAUUAUUAAAUGGCCGCGGUAUUUUGACCGUGCAAAGGUAGCAUAAUCACUAGUUUUUUAAUUGAGAGCUUGUAUGAAAGGUUUGAUGAGAAAAUAGCUGUCUCUGGAAAAUUUUAUUAAAAUUUUAUUUUUAAGUGAAAAAGCUUAAAUAUUUAUAGAAGACGAGAAGACCCUAUAGAGUUUUAUAAGUGGAAUUAAAAUGAGGUUAUAGGAAUGUUUGAUUUUGUAUUAUUUUUACUUAUUUUGUUGGGGUGACGGGAAAAUUAAUUUAACUUUUCUUUAUGUUUAUACUAAUUUGUAAGUUUAUGAUCCUAUAGUUUAGAUUUUAAGAAUAAAUUACCUUAGGGAUAACAGCGUAAUUUUUCUUAGAGUUCUUAUCAAAAGAUUAGAUUGCGACCUCGAUGUUGGAUUAAAAUUAAUUAUUGGUGCAGUAGCUAAUAGAUUAGGUCUGUUCGACCUUUAAAAUUUUACAUGAUCUGAGUUUAAACCGGUGUGAG
rnacentral:rRNA from 1 species